rnacentral:tRNA from 1 species
GUUUUUAUAGUUGAAGUACAACGGUGGUUUUUCAGACCAUUAGUCUUGGUUAGAUCCCUAGUAAAAAUU